CAAUAGCGUAUAUUAAAGUUGUUGCAGUUAAAAGCUCGUAGUUGGAUUUCUGGCAGUGUGACUCCGGCCGGCGUGAUGCCGGCUCGAGCGCGCUACCAUCCUUCUGUCAACCUUCGCGGGUUUUUACCGCCCGCCCUGGGGCUCAGAUAUUUUACCUUGAGAAAAUUAGAAGUGUUUCAGGCAGGCUAUCGCCGGAAUACAUUAGCAUGGAAUAAUGGAAAAGGACUGCAACCUCUUCUGUUGGUCUGGGAGGCUGAAGUAAUGAUUAAUAGGGAUAGUUGGGGGGCAUUAGUACUUUCCAGUCAGAGGGUGAAAUUCUCCAAUUUGGUAAAGACUAACUUAUGCGAAAGCAUUUGCCAAGGAUGUUUUCAUUAAUCAAGAACGAAAGAUUUGGGGGAU
rnacentral:rRNA from 1 species